rnacentral:rRNA from 1 species
UACAGAGGGUGCAAGCGUUAAUCGGAAAUUACUGGGCGUAAAGCGCGCGUAGGUGGUUUGUUAAGUUGAAUGUGAAAUCCCUCGGCUCAACUGAGGAAGUGCAUCCGAAACUGGCAGGCUUGAGUACUAAAGAGGGUCGCGGAAUUCCCGGUGUGGAGGUGAAAUUCGUAGAUAUCGGGAGGAACACCGGUGGCGAAGGCGGCGACCUGGGUAGAUACUGACGCUGAGGUGCGAAAGCGUGGGGAGCAAACAGG